rnacentral:lncRNA from 1 species
GUCUCAAGAGGAAGGACGGUGAUGUUUGGGUGUAUUGCCGGCGAUACAUUAGGUUUGCCUCCUCACUUUACCUUCUUUGUUUGUUCCCUGUGGAAAACCAUGGAGAUGAAUGAUUUAAGUAAUUACUUGUGAAAUAUACUUAUCGUUGGGUAUCAUUUGCUUAUGGCAACCAAAUUAUGUCAUUGGAUGAUGCCUUUGCGGAUCAGAUUUUGCAAAAAAAGAUUUGCUGUAUCAGAGUGAGAUACAUAUGUAUUUUUAACUUGAUAAUUUGUAAUGCAAAAAUGCUUUGCAAUGUUUGUAUGAGGUUGUCUAAACAUGAAACUUGAUGAAAGUGUUUGAACAUCUUUUUAAUGGUGGGGGUGGGGGGAUGAAGAAUGCAAAAGGCACUUUAAUAACUUAUGAUGAAUGUCAAGGUAGUGGGAUAAGAACUGGUGAUUAUACAAAGUUAUAUGACUUUUGAUUCUAUAUCCACAACGAAAAUUUCUUGCAGUGACCCUAAGAAACUUAUUUAUAGGGGUUUGAAAAGCAGUUGAUUAUAAUUGCCUUUCCUGCAGCUUAAAUUGAUUUUCUUCAACUCAUUUGAAGAAUCACAUUGGUCUACAUUGGCCAACCAUAGAAAUCAGCUUGGAUAGGCCAUCUAAAUGUUAUCCCUUUCUCCUCUUGGCCCUUGUUUUGCCAUAUACUAUGUAUAUUUAGCGCAAAUUGGUAGAAAAUUGAGGAAGAGCACAAAGAAUUCAAGAGAAAACAAGUAGCAUAUAGCCGUUAUCAUUAGUGGUUUACAAAGAUGCCUUAACGUAAUAAACUAGUCUGGUUAAUGUUGUGGUACAUAUAUAAAUAUUAACAUAAAUUUCUUCUAGUCAUUUAUAAAAGUACAGCUUGGGGAUCAUGGCCUAAAUCUACAUAACAAGUUAUUUUAUUUCUGCAUAAGAAUUGUUGUGCUUCUGGACUGUUAAUGUCAGUUGUGAGAAAAAAAGAGAAACUUGCCUUGAAUUUCCUAUCAAGCUUUUUUUAGUCAUUUGACUACACCGAAAGAAUCUUGCGUUAUAACCUUUUUCAUAUUAGAUAUGAACUUUAGCUUACUCUGCUAGCAUUUUGUCAAUUGGUUGCACAUGUAGAAAAUGGAUGAAUAUCUCUCCUGCAGGGUUCAUGUGCUUAUUAUAUUUGUUCUGUAUGUUUUGUCAUUUACCAAUAAGUUUAUGAUGUUGAUUGGGUACAAUGGUAACACAUAACCUAUUGGCUUUAGCUCCAUAGCAUUCAUGCAGUAUUUAUAGUUUUGCACUUCUUUGUUUCCCAGCCCAUGUGGAAAACAUUUUGUUUCCUGCAAAGAGGUAUCUUCAUAUAUACUCGCUCUUCUUGGGGAUCCAAAUGCUCUGCUACUAGCUCCUAUUGAGAAUAAUGCAAGUACACCAAGGAUCGAAAAGUUAAAUACUGACUAUGUAAGUGUGAUAUGGACAUCUAAUUAAAUUGUGUUUGUGCAUCUACUCGUAUUUGAUAAUAGGAUAUGGAACAGGCUGCAGGUCCUUCUGUUCAAGAUAAUUAUGCAAAUGACGUACCUAGUUGCUCUACAGUUGUAUCUUUCUCCCCUUCACCUGCUGACUGUGAGAAGCAAAUUGUGUUGUAUAAUUCUG